ACCCAGCAGGCACCGGAGGGCCAAGCUGAAGAAGCUCUGCAUGUAAAUGCUCCUUAAACAAUGUUAGGCUGAGUUAAUCCAGCGGUAGCUCCAGGGGGACAAACUGAAGGCUCAAUCCUCUCCCUUAUCUCUCCUUGUCACCAAGCCGGAGGACCGAGCCCGGCGCACAGCGCCGCAGAGCCCGGGGUGUUCGUGUCCUGGCUUUUGGGGCUUUUUAACCAUGUUCUCGCCUCUGGUUCAUAUGGGAGUGGAAGAGCCGGGAUGUUCGUGGUGUUGCGGGGACCACAAGCAUGGCCUUUGCUGGGGGCAGAUGGAGGAGAGCAGCUGUGGAGCCUGGACCUGGGGGUUGUCCUCUGGCCCUGAGAGUCCUCCCGGCUUUUGUGGCAUCUGUAGGGCCACCCUCAGGGUGCCGCUUUGCCCCUGCACAGGGUCAUCCCGCAUCCCGACCCGAGCCCUGCUGGAAGCCAUCUGCAAAGCUUUCCCUUGCCUUACACCAGCAUGGGGCUGAUGAGGGUGAAGCCUGUCACUUCACGCAAGGAUUUUGGGCUGGUGUUCGCUCUCCAGCACCAAAGCAAAUGAAACAGUGGGUUUCUGAAACGCCGAUCUCCGAGCUGUGCGUCCAACAAGCCCUGGCUCUUUGCUAGUGGGGAGUUCAUAGGAAUAUCCCUGAAUCCUGAGCACCCUGACACCCCAGCACCCCGUUUGCAAAUGGAGCAGGAGCAGGUUCCUGUUCGGGGUGUGCAGCCCCAAAUGCCGCUGAGCGUGUGCGCUAACGCCGGCAGCACCGGGCAGGGUGCAGGCAGCACGGGGUUGUGCGCGGCAGCCGCUGCAGGCAGCCGCGGCGAGGAGGAGAAGUGGGCACGGGCACGGCACGUCGUGGUGGUGUUUUGUUCAUCCUCACUAGGGAGCGGAGGAGAAACAAAAGCUGGAGCAGCGCAGGGCACCAGGCUGGCUGGGUGAGGAGGAGAAAAAAAUAAAUAAUUGUGCAGAAUUUCAUCGGGGAGCUUGAAAAGAGGCAAUUUUGUGAACAAAUAGUCGCCUCUCGGAGCAGAACUUCCCCGUCUCCAAUUUCAAAAUUCUGUUCACAUCAACAUCUACUUUCAUGUUGUAAAACCUGGGGAAAAAGGGAAAAAAAAAAAAAGCAGCUUCACACAUUUCAAUGCAAAAGCCUCAUUUUGGCGAGGAAAAGGGGGGGGAAAGCACUCUUUGGUGGUAGUUUAUACAAAAAGCAACCCCCAAAAUGAAAGUGUGGAAAUACUCAGGGACCCAAGGCAGGUGUGGCUGCCUUGAAGCCUGUGGCUGCUCUUGCCCAUGCGGGGCUGAGCCCGAGCAGGGCCAUGAAGCGGCUGCUGGAGUCCAGCCCCAGGCUUAAAAGACAUGACUUUUCACUUUACCCCACUUGGUGAGAAUGAAAAGCCCAUUUGGUCGGGACCAACUUCAGAAGUGCCUCUGGCUUUGCACUGCAGCCACCGUCCCCAUUUCCCACAUCAGAAAGGUGCAGGAGGAGGGUAGCAAGGAGCAGGGGUGGUCCACAGCAGCAUCCUGGGUGUCUCACGGGGGUUUCAUCACUCCAGGGAAAGCCCUUUCCCCUCCUCUGGGCAGCAGCACAUAUGGGAUUAAUGCUCUGCCUCGUCCCCGCAGGUGUGGGGCAGGUGCCUGUGCUCAGCUGCCCCAAUCAUGGGGCCAGAAGUGAGGAUAAGAGCAGGGUUUGGUGGGGUUUUCCCCUUCUUUGCUCCUCUCCUUCCUCUGUAGGACCUGGAGUCAGUCGGUGCCUCUCCCUGAGGAAGAGGAGCCAGGGCGGCUCUGCCUGCCCUCCGCCUCUGGGCUUGGCUGGCUCCUUCUCUCCAUGCCAACCUCCGCGUGCUGUUUGGCAUCGGGCAAGAUCCUGGAUGAAGCUCGUGGCUGUCUUGCCUGCCUGGCACAGAAACCCCAGAGAGCAGCUCAGCUGGAAAUGCCUUUUGCCCUGAGAAGCAGCUGGAAAAGCACUCAGCCUCCGAGGGUCUCGGCCAGUGGUGCUGCAAACCUGCCCCACGUCCCUCUGUGGGGGGACCAGGACCAUGAUGGGCAGCGCAGCCUCCUCGCCCGGGGCCAGCAGUGAUGCUGGGGGGAACUGGUGCCCGGGAGAGCAGGGGACUCCUCCAAACAUCUGCUAACAUGUUCAGAUCCCAAAAUAUACUUCUGCUCAUUCGUAUUUGAGCAGGGGAGAUGAGAUGGGAGGGAUCUGACUCACAGCCGACAGAUUGAAGGACGGCCAGGUCCUGCACUGGGACCGGCAGAGCACAAAGUUGCUCUUCUGGGGACGUGCUGCUGGGACUGGGUGCAGUCUCGUCCUUGCUGCUCGUGGUUGUGGACAUCGAACAACUCCAUCUGUGGGUCAGCACUUGGGAAACAGUGCCUAGCUCGUGGUGCAAGGGUGGGUUUUCCUUGCGUGGGUGCCCAACCCCUCCCCGGAGAGCUGGGGGCAGAGCUGGGCUGGCAGCCUGGGAGGUGAGAGGGGUCAGUUCUCCAUCACCCUGUCCAUCCUUGUUCCUCCUGGUGUGGAAGGACUUGCUGGGUGUGCAGCGAUGUCCUCUCCCAGGCUGAGCCCCUCCAGUGGCACGAGGACCUGGCCGGGCUGUUGGCUUUGGCACUGGAUUUGAUGCACGCCUUCCUAAGGCCAGACCCGAGCCCUCCAAACGCCCCGUGGGGUGUUGCUGGUGCUGGGCAGAGCCCCGUGACCGGUGGGUGCUGGUGACUGCGCUGACCCUCUGCUGUCAGUGAGCCCAGCCCAGCCCUGCAGCCACCUCUGUGAUUGCCUCCAGGUCGGGGAAAUAAAGGCGAGAGCCGUGCCGGACCCUCCUGGGCUCUGCAGGGAGCUGCCAGCUGCUUUCCGCCCCUCCUGCCUGCUCUGCCGAGGGCAGCUCCUGCGGAAAGCCGGGUGGGCUCAGGCGCUGCCCCAGCUUCAGGUUGAAUUUCUGCCUCUGUUACCGGAGGCAGCAUCUCUCCCCGGAGCAGGGUGACUCUUCCCCCAGACCAAGGGGGUUCAGCAGAGUGACACUGAGGACACCCCAAGAACUGGAUCUGCCUGUGGAGAGCAUUUUGCACGGUGAAGGGAAGGCCACAGCUGUCUCGCAGCUGGCGGAGCGAGCGGUGUGUGCGGGGAGGCGAUUCCCUCUGCCGUGGCUUGGUGCAGGACCCCCCGUCUCCCCUUGGUCUCCCCAUCUCCCACCUCCCGCAGGUCUGUGCCAGCCAAACUCCACCUGCCCCCUCCGCAGCACCCCUCUGUGCCUCGCUCCUCUCCAGGGCUGCCGGGCACAAAAUCCCGGUGAUGCCCGUUCACCCCCGUCCAAGGGGGCACUAACAGAAGAGAGGACACGGAAGAAUUUUUAGGUUCAAACUCUUCGGCAUCAGCAAAUGUCAGCGCUAAGGUCGGGCAGCGCUGGGGCACGUUGAACUGUGCUGGGGCGCAGAUCUGGGAUGGGGACGGGCGCUGACAUGGGAACAGAGCUCACAGCUGGGCUGGGGGGGGGUCUGGUGGUGGAAGCUGAGCUCCCCCAGACUUUGGGACCUCUGCCCUGCUCCAGCCCAUCUGUUCAGCAUCUCUCAGCGGAGAUAGGGACCGGAGGGGUGGGGGGGUCAAGGCGAUGGGUGCCUACCGGCACGUGCGGGGGGCACAGCCCCCUUCCCUGCGAGCGCCCAGGUGGUUCAACCGAGUUGUGAAGGGAUCAAAACAUUUUGUGCCUGGAAGACAAGGAGCGUGUGCGAGAGUGAGGAUGGGCUUGUGUUGGGGGGUGCAACCUUCCCCUGUCACCUCCCUUCUAGCCUGAAUGCUUCUGCCAUCAUGAUUAAUUUAUCAGGUACUUAUGAAUAUGCAGAUGAGACUCUGGUUUCCAGGCUCUGCUUUCAGGAGAGAGGCUGUGUGAUGGGCUUUCUGCUGCUGCUGCCUUCGUAAGAAGAGAAAUGUCAUGUACCAGGGUUUAAAAUAAAUAAAUAACUGCGCCGCC